rnacentral:lncRNA from 1 species
GUGGCCUACUAAGGGGCAAUCCUUUAGAUUCUUAGAAUACAUCAACAUACUAUUCCAACACCUUCUUCACUAAAAUGGGAAUCUCUACUUCGAUUUUGUUCUCAUCAAAAUUUAUUAGAUGUCCUAUAGCACAACAGUCUCCCUUCAGUCCGAACUUAUACUACUAUGUAGCAGUGAUCAUUUAAAGUUUAGCCUUAGUAAAUUUUAGUUUAGAUCCCUCUGUAAUGCCUUUUAAUGUCAUUUGUUUUCCUUCUUUAAUGAAGAUGACA